CCUGCCCAGUGAAUUAAUUUAACGGCCGCGGUAUCUUGACCGUGCAAAGGUAGCAUAAUCAAUUGUUCUUUAAAUAAGGACUAGUAUGAACGGCAUCACGAGGGUUUAACUGUCUCCCUAUUUUAAUCAAUGAAAUUGAUCCCCCCGUGAAGAAGCGGGGAUAAAACUAUAAGACGAAAAGACCCCAUGGAGCUUUUAAACUUUAUUUUCAAUUACCAAAACCAAAACAUACACCUGGUAAAAAUGAUAAUCGUUUUCGGUUGGGGCGACCCUGGAGAAAAAUAAAUCCUCCAAGCUGAAUAGAUUAAAAUCUAAUAUUAGAGCAACAACUCAAACAAUCAAAACCUUGACAAAAUGACCCAGAAUCCAUCUGAUCAACGAACCAAGUUACCCUGGGGAUAACAGCGCAAUCCAUUUCAAGAGCCCUUAUCGACAAAUGGGUUUACGACCUCGAUGUUGGAUCGGGGUAUCCUAGCAG
rnacentral:rRNA from 1 species